UGGGGAUACAAUAUCUGAUGAUGGUUAGCGGGGUGAAUACUAGAAUGUAACUUAGGGAUAAGGAUGACAUAAUGUCAUAAUCGACAGUUUUAAUCCAAUGUACAAAAUCAAAUGCAUAUACAUAAAUAUAUCAUAUGUCAGGAUAGGGAACAAGGCUUAACAUGCACUUCAAAACUUGAGCCUAGAUUGUGUAGCUCAAUCAUCAUAUAAUAGUGUCUACAUGCUAUAUGGGUCCUAGAU
rnacentral:lncRNA from 1 species